rnacentral:lncRNA from 1 species
UUGUUACAUUUUUGAAUAAGUAAAUUAUCACAUGAAGAUUUAGAAAAAUGUUACCCUGAAACAUUAAACGAUAGUUUUGCCAUAUUACAAAAUAGCUAUUUUAAACUUUUGUAUAAGGCAUUUGAAGCCAAAUGGCUGAUAUGACUGUUCUCUUCAGCUGGAACAUUUUUUUUCUUCUCAAGAAGGGUGUGUGUGAAUGAUGUGUGUGCAUACUGGAGGUAGUUGAGAAGAAUUUGAUUAAUACAUAAGACUUUUCACUAAUGUCUCCCCUCUAAUCCAAAUUUACUUUUUAAAUUAAUUCACUUGGAUUUAAAAACAGAAAUGAGAUAAU